rnacentral:rRNA from 1 species
GACGUAGGGCGCGAGCGUUGUUCGGAUUCAUUGGGCGUAAAGGGUGCGUAGGUGGCGUCGUAAGUCAGGUGUGAAAUCUCGGGGCUCAACCCCGAAACUGCACUUGAUACUGCGAUGCUCGAGUACUGGAGAGGAGAUUGGAAUUUACGGUGUAGCAGUGAAAUGCGUAGAUAUCGUAAGGAAGACCAGUGGCGAAGGCGAAUCUCUGGACAGUUACUGACACUGAGGCACGAAGGCCAGGGGAGCAAACGGG